GAUGAACGCUGGCGGCGUGCCUAAUACAUGCAAGUCGAGCGAACAGAUAAGGAGCUUGCUCCUUUGACGUUAGCGGCGGACGGGUGAGUAACACGUGGGUAACCUACCUAUAAGACUGGGAUAACUUCGGGAAGCCGGAGCUAAUACCGGAUAACAUUUGGAACCGCAUGGUUCUAAAGUGAAAGAUGGUUUUGCUAUCACUUAUAGAUGGACCCGCGCCGUAUUAGCUAGUUGGUAAGGUAACGGCUUACCAAGGCGACGAUACGUAGCCGACCUGAGAGGGUGAUCGGCCACACUGGAACUGAGACACGGUCCAGACUCCUACGGGAGGCAGCAGUAGGGAAUCUUCCGCAAUGGGCGAAAGCCUGACGGAGCAACGCCGCGUGAGUGAUGAAGGGUUUCGGCUCGUAAAACUCUGUUAUUAGGGAAGAACAAACGUGUAAGUAACUGUGCACGUCUUGACGGUACCUAAUCAGAAAGCCACGGCUAACUACGUG
rnacentral:rRNA from 1 species